rnacentral:misc_RNA from 1 species
GAUGAAGAACGUAGCGAAAUGCGAUAAGUAAUGUGAAUUGCAGAAUUCAGUGAAUCAUCGAGUCUUUGAACGCACAUUGCGCCCCCUGGUAUUCCGGGGGGCAUGCCUGUCCGAGCGUCAUUGCUGCCCUCAAGCACGGCUUGUGUGUUGGGCCCCCGUCCCCGGUUUCCCCCGGGGACGGGCCCGAAAGGCAGCGGCGGCACCGCGUCCGGUCCUCGAGCGUAUGGGGCUUUGUCACCCGCUCUGUAGGCCCGGCCGGCGCCAGCCGACACCCAACUUUAUUUCUAAGGUUGACCUCGGAUCAGGUAGGGAUACCCGCUGAACUUAAGCAUAUCAAUAACGGAGGA